rnacentral:rRNA from 1 species
UCAUUUUGUACAAUCAAGCACUGCUUGGUGUUGGGCGUUUGUCUCGCAAGGGACUCGCCUCAAAGUCAUUGGCGGCCAACGCAGUCGUGGCAGAGCGCAGCACAAUCUUGCGUCUCUCCCUUCAGUGUCGGCGUCCAU